UAGUUAAAUCCUGAUUGUUGCCAUGAC
rnacentral:piRNA from 2 species